UUUCCGUAGGUGAACCUGCGGAAGGAUCAUUAAUGUGUUUGGGCCUCACGGCUCUUCAUUCCGACGCUGUGCGCCUUCGGGCUGCACGCUGAGGGAGCAUAUAUCCACCCCUGUGCACACACACGGUGGCGAGCUGGGUAACGGCUCCCCGCUGAUCUUUACACACGUCUAAAAGUCAUUGUAUGUUUAUUUGAGAUAAAAACACAACUUUCAGCAACGGAUCUCUUGGCUCUC
rnacentral:misc_RNA from 1 species